AUUGAACGCUGGCGGCAGGCCUAACACAUGCAAGUCGAACGAGGGGCGGGCGGGUGAGUUAUGUCUGGAACACUGCCAGAGGGGGGGGGAUAACUACUGGAAACGGUAGCUAAUCCCGCAUCACAUCGGAUGUGCCCAGAUGGUAUUAGCUAGUAGGUGGGGUAACGGCUCACCUAGGCGACUAUCCCUAGCUGUUCUGAGAGGAUGACCAGCCACACUGGAACUGAGACACGGUCCAGACUCCUACGGGAGGCAGCAGUGGGGAAUAUUGCACAAUGGGCGCAAGCCUGAUGCAGCCAUGCCGCGUGUAUGAAGAAGGCCUUCGGGUUGUAAAGUACUUUCAGCGGGGAGGCGUUACUCGCAGAAGAAGCACCGGCUAACUCCGUGCCAGCAGCCGCGGUAAUAC
rnacentral:rRNA from 1 species